rnacentral:rRNA from 1 species
ACAACCUACGGGAGGCAGUAGUGGGGAAUAUUGCACAAUGGGGGAAACCCUGAUGCAGCGACGCCGCGUGAGCGAUGAAGUAUUUCGGUAUGUAAAGCUCUAUCAGCAGGGAAGAAAAUGACGGUACCUGACUAAGAAGCCCCGGCUAACUACGUGCCAGCAGCCGCGGUAAUACGUAGGUGGCAAGCGUUGUCCGGAUUUACUGGGUGUAAAGGGCGUGCAGCCGGGCUGACAAGUCAGAUGUGAAAUCACGCGGCUCAACCGCGGAACUGCAUUUGAAACUGUCAGUCUUGAGUACC